GACGAACGCUGGCGGCGUGCCUAAUACAUGCAAGUAGAACGCACAGUUUAUACCGUAGCUUGCUACACCAUAAACUGUGAGUUGCGAACGGGUGAGUAACGCGUAGGUAACCUGCCUGGUAGCGGGGGAUAACUAUUGGAAACGAUAGCUAAUACCGCAUAAUAUUGAUUAUUGCAUGAUAAUUGAUUGAAAGAUGCUAUUGCAUCACUACCAGAUGGACCUGCGUUGUAUUAGCUAGUAGGUGAGGUAACGGCUCACCUAGGCGACGAUACAUAGCCGACCUGAGAGGGUGAUCGGCCCCCCUGGGACUGAGACACGGCCCAGACUCCUACGGGAGGCAGCAGUAGGGAAUCUUCGGCAAUAGACGAAAGUCUGACCGAGCAACGCCGCGUGAGUGAAGAAGGUUUUCGGAUCGUAAAGCUCUGUUGUAAGAGAAGAACGGGUGUGAGAGUGGAAAGUUCACACUGUGACGGUAUCUUACCAGAAAGGGACGGCUAACUACGUG
rnacentral:rRNA from 1 species